UACGUAGGGACCAAGCGUUGUUCGGAUUUACUGGGCGUAAAGGGCGCGUAGGCGGCAAUUCAAGUCAUCUGUGAAAUCUUCGGGCUUAACUCGGAACGGUCAGAUGAUACUGUUUUGCUAGAGCGCAGAAGGGGCAAUCGGAAUUCUUGGUGUAGCGGUGAAAUGCGCAGAUAUCAGGAGGAACACCGGUGGCGAAGGCGGGUCUCUGGGCCGUAACUGACGCUGAGGAGCGAAAGCAUGGGGAGCGAACAGG
rnacentral:rRNA from 1 species